GGCAGAGCUCACUGUCGGCUAAAUUGCACUAGUUCUUCAGGGUUGGCACCAUCCCUGGUAUCUAGGAGAGAAAUGCAUGAGUGAAUUGCAGUCUUGUGUGCUACCUUUCGCU